AUUGAACGCUGGCGGCAGGCUUAACACAUGCAAGUCGAACGGUAACAGGAAGAAAGCUUGCUUUCUUUGCUGACGAGUGGCGGACGGGUGAGUAAUGCUUGGGAAUCUGUUUCAUGGAGGGGGAUAACUACGGGAAACUGUAGCUAAUACCGCGUAAUAUCGAGAGAUUAAAUGUGUGGGACCGUAAGGCCACAUGCCAUGAAGUGAGCCCAAGUGGGAUUAGAUAGUUGGUGAGGUAAUGGCUCACCAAGUCAGCGAUCUCUAGCUGGUCUGAGAGGAUGACCAGCCACACUGGGACUGAGACACGGCCCAGACUCCUACGGGAGGCAGCAGUGGGGAAUAUUGCACAAUGGGCGCAAGCCUGAUGCAGCCAUGCCGCGUGAAUGAAGAAGGCCUUCGGGUUGUAAAGUUCUUUCGGUAGUGAGGAAGGUUGGCGUGUUAAUAGCACGUUGAUUUGACGUUAGCCACAGAAGAAGCACCGGCUAACUCCGUGCCAGCAGCCGCGGUAAUACGGGGGGUGCGAGCGUUAAUCGGAAUAACUGGGCGUAAAGGGCACGCAGGCGGUGACUUAAGUGAGGUGUGAAAGCCCUGGGCUUAACCUAGGAAUUGCAUUUCAUACUGGGUCGCUAGAGUAUUUUAGGGAGGGGUAGAAUUCCACGUGUAGCGGUGAAAUGCGUAGAGAUGUGGAGGAAUACCGAAGGCGAAGGCAGCCCCUUGGGAAUAUACUGACGCUCAUGUGCGAAAGCGUGGGGAGCAAACAGG
rnacentral:rRNA from 1 species